GGAAGGAUCAUUACAGAAUUGUCAACGGGUUGUUGCUGGUCCUCGAACGGGGACAUGUGCACGCUCUGUUUACACAUCCACUCACACCUGUGCACCCUCCGUAGUUCUGUGGUCUGGGGGACCCUGUCUUCCUGCCGUGGUUCUACGUCUUUACACACACACUGUAAUAAAGUCUUAUGGAAUGUAUGCCGCGUCUAACGCAAUACAAUACAACUUUCAGCAACGGAUCUCUUGGCUCUCGCAUCGAUGAAGAACGCAGCGAAAUGCGAUAAGUAAUGUGAAUUGCAGAAUUCAGUGAAUCAUCGAAUCUUUGAACGCACCUUGCGCCCCUUGGCUAUUCCGAGGGGCAUGCCUGUUUGAGUAUCAUGAACACCUCAACUCUCAUGGUUCGCCGUGAUGAGCUUGGACUCUGGGGGUUUUGCUGGCCUGCGGUCGGCUCCCCUCAAAUGAAUCAGCCUCCCAGUGUUUGGUGGCAUCACGGGUGUGAUAAAUAUCUACGCUCGAAGUUGUCCGCCAGGUAACCUUUGGUGACAAAGGUUCGCUGGAGCUCACAGAUGUCUCUCCUCAGCGAGGACAGCUUUUUGAACGUUCGAUCUCAAAUCAGGUAGGACUACCCGCUGAACUUAAGCAUAUCA
rnacentral:sRNA from 1 species